UACGUAGGGUGCGAGCGUUAAUCGGAAUUACUGGGCGUAAAGCGUGCGCAGGCGGUGAUGUAAGUCAGUUGUGAAAUCCCCGGGCUCAACCUGGGAACUGCAUCUGUGACUGCAUCGCUGGAGUGCGGCAGAGGGGGAUGGAAUUCCGCGUGUAGCAGUGAAAUGCGUAGAUAUGCGGAGGAACACCGAUGGCGAAGGCAAUCCCCUGGGCCUGCACUGACGCUCAUGCACGAAAGCGUGGGGAGCGAACAGG
rnacentral:rRNA from 1 species